CUCAUCGGGGCAAUAAAGCUUCGGUUGAUUUGAACUUUACCACGAAAAGGUCUGUCAUAUAUAACACAGACUUUUCAGGUAGUUCACAAAAGCUGCGAGCCAAAGCAACUGCCCCGUC
rnacentral:precursor_RNA from 10 species